GCGUCAGCUAUAGCUCAGUGGAUACUUCGUUUAUUGCAAAACACUUAACAGCCCCGAGUAACAUCGGGACUCGUGCCACGGGCGCUGUCUGACGUUUUU
rnacentral:vault_RNA from 13 species